CCACACGCAAUAUCACACUGAAAGCACUGGCUCUUGUCUGAUCACUGCAGUUGAGCAAUGUCAAGUCUAGUUAGUACUUAGAUGAGUGAACACUUGAGAAAACUAGGUGCUGUAAGCC
rnacentral:rRNA from 1 species